rnacentral:rRNA from 1 species
AUUGAACGCUGGCGGCAGGCUUAACACAUGCAAGUCGAACGCGUGGCGGACGGGUGAGUAAUGCUUGGGAAUCUAGCUUAUGGAGGGGGUUAAUUACGGGAAACUGUAGCUAAUACCGCUUACCAUAGGCUUAUCCCUAGGGGGAUUCGGUAGUUGGUAAGUUAAAGGCUCACCAAGCCAACGAUCCCUAGCUGGUCUGAGAGGAUGACCAGCCACACUGGGACUGAGACACGGCCCAGACUCCUACGGGAGGCAGCAGUGGGGAAUAUUGCGCAAUGGGGGAAACCUGACGCAGCCAUGCCGCGUGAAUGAAGAAGGCCUUCGGGUUGUAAAGUUCUUUCGGUAGCGAGGCGUUAACUACAGAAGAAGCACCGGCUAACUCCGUGCCAGCAGCCGCGGUAAUAC